UCUGUUUGUGUGUGCGGCUAAAACAUCCAAACGAGAUCUGUUGCUUUCAAAGUUUAUUCCGAACUUUUUUUUUCCUUUCAGCAAGUAAUCUCCGGCAGCGUUAGCCAACAAUUCAUCUAUUAAUAUCAGAAAAUAAAACCAGCUAUUAAGAUGCAGCGGGCGGUUAGGAGUGUGCAGCAGCAUCCGUCCCUCCACAGGCCUCUAUUUGCAUUGUAAAUUGCUUCAUUCUCACGCAAGACUCUUUAGCCUCCCUCUAUAGAGAUGUAUAAAGCCAACGGCAAUUUCCAGCGCAGGUUAAGGAGGAAGGAAAAAAAACAUCCCAUUCUAUAGAAGAGGUGACAGCUGAUUCAGGGAUCUGCUCCUGAUCCUUUUGGGUUAGGCACCAUGAGCUUUUUACCAAGCGGUGGCAGCUUGAUUGCACAUAUCUUGUGUGUGUGUGUUUUAGGGGGAAGAUCCUCGAUUUCACAGGGCUUCUAGGCUGGGGAAGAGAAGAUGCCGUCUUGCUGGUGUGCUGCUGCCCCCGGUCUGAAAGAAGGAGAAAAGGGCCAUCAUUGGAGGGGCUUUCACAGCCAAAACGUGGACCAGCCCGGCAAGGUCAAAGGUUCGAGACCGCGGGAGACCAAGGUCUCCAGAUGGCUGAAACAUGAAUUGAAACAUCCUGGUUUUCUUGGGAAUAAACAAUCUCUGCUUAAGUCAGAAGUGAAAAGUUAUGAUUUUCCACAUAUUUGGAUCAGACUCAUGCUAUUCCAUAAAUGCAAAUAAUCAGCUUGGAAGAAGAGGGACUCUUAAAAAACAUUAGGGAUUUGAACACUAUAACCUGCCAUACAAAAGACGAAGGAGAGUUCUUCCAUGUAAGAAUUUCAAGACUGGAACAAAGUCAUAUUUUCUAAAUGUUUAAGGAACUAGAUUUCCAGGCCUUUCAAACAAUGGGAAUCCCUAGAUAAAUAUCUAAUCCAUUAGAAAGAUGCAAAUAGUUUACUGUAAGGCCACUGCACGGUGAGAUGUGCAUUCAUAUCUAUGGCUCCUGAUUGGCUAUUUCCUUCAGUAAAUCAAUGAAUAAUGUAAAACCUGAUUGCUGUAAAGUGGUGGAUUUUUUUAUUCCCUUCCCCCAUUCCUCCAUGACUCAAUAUAUUAAAGAAGUCUUACUCUCUCGAAAAUAGGUUGCGUUUCUUUUAUGAUUUUUUUUAAUGCUUAUUGUUAUUUUGGAG